UUAAACACUCCCAUGGUCAUUCCU
rnacentral:siRNA from 1 species